UAUCAAAAGUAAAUUAACUAAUUACCUGCAUUAUUGCAGGACACUCAGCAAAAUAUGGACUCUACACCAUGAGGCAGGCACACGUUAAUACUCUAUAAGAGCACAUAAGCCUGGCUGAUCACCUGAUAACUCAUGUCAUCUGGUUGUGACAGCAUGAGGAUGUCCUCACACACCUGUAACCUAUCAGCUCAUCUGGCAGAAUAGAGAGAGAAGAGACACCACAUCUCCUGUUCCUGGAAAGCCUUAAGCAUUCCUUCGAUGACUGAGAACCUCCAUCGGCUCUGUCUCCUGUCUGCCUACAAUUAUUAUAAUAAAUAUUGUGUUUGGCAAGU